UACGAGGGGGGCGAGCGUUGUUCGGAAUUACUGGGCGUAAAGCGUGCGCAGGCGGUUUUGUAAGCCAGGUGUGAAAUCCCCGGGCUCAACCUGGGAACUGCAUUUGUGACUGUAGAGCUGGAGUACGGCAGAGGGGGAUGGAAUUCCGCGUGUAGCAGUGAAAUGCGUAGAUAUGCGGAGGAACACCGAUGGCGAAGGCAAUCCCCUGGGCCUGUACUGACGCUCAUGCACGAAAGCGUGGGGAGCAAACAGG
rnacentral:rRNA from 1 species